rnacentral:rRNA from 1 species
GUCUACAACCAUGAUACCCUGAACAAGCCCGAUCCUGUCUGAUCUCGGAAGGUAAGCAGGAUCAGGCCUGGUUAGGAGUUGGAUGGGAGACCACCUAGGAAGACCAGGUGCGGUAGGUG